UUUUUUUGGGGGGAAAAUUUUCUCCUAGGGUAAAUAAAGGGACAGAGACCGAUAGCGAACAGUUCCCGUGAGGGAAGAUGAAAAAGAACUUUUGAAAAGAGAGUUAAACAGUACGUGAAAUUUGUUGAAAGGGAAACGAUUGAAGCCAGUCGUACCUUCGGGUAAUCAACCUUUUGGGUGUGAUUUUGUGGGUUUUGAGGAGCUUAACACCCUUCAUGAUUCCCGAUAUUGGGACCUUGGGUGGUCUUUUUUCGUUGGGUGGUUAACCUCCAUUUUUGAAUGUCAUAAAAAUGACUGGGAGAUGUAACUUUCCAUAAAA
rnacentral:rRNA from 1 species